CACGUAGGGCGCAAGCGUUGUCCGGAAUUAUUGGGCGUAAAGAGCUCGUAGGCGGUCUGUUGCGUCCGCUGUGAAAACUCGGGGCUUAACCCCGAGCCUGCAGUGGAUACGGGCAGACUAGAGGCAGGUAGGGGAGAAUGGAAUUCCCGGUGUAGCGGUGAAAUGCGUAGAUAUCUGGAGGAACACCGGUGGCGAAGGCGGCAUCCUGGACCACCACUGACACUGAGGAGCGAAAGCCAGGGGAGCAAACGGG
rnacentral:rRNA from 1 species